AUCAGACCAUAUACCAGGGGUAUGACAAAACAUGUAUUUUUUACUGCUCUAAUUACAUUGAUAAUCAGUUUAUAAUGGCAAUAAGGCACCUCGGGGGGGGUGUGUUGUGAUAUGGCCAAUAUACCACGGCUAAGGGCUGUGUCCAUGGAGCAGCGUUGCGUUGUUCAUAAGAACAGCCCUUAGCCGUGGUAUAUUGGCCAUAUACCACACCCCUCCGUGCCUUAUUGCUUAAAUAACAGGUUGAUCAUCCAGAACAAACGAUCCUCUACAAAAACACUGUCUGACUGCGACAGGUGCUGUAGAUUGACAGUGUCCUCCUCACUUUCUCUUUUGAAACACUACUGACUCCAUUGGGAUGUUCAGAACCUUCUUCACAUCCCGGUAAUGCUCCUUGGCUCUCUCCAGCAUGCCUGACUGGUCUACACCAGGCCUAGGGACGCUGUCGGAGAAGGCAAAACGAGGUGAGUAUAGAAGCAAAAAUGAGAGAUACUGUAUACACAACAUACUGUACACACAACAUACUGUACACACAACAUACUGUAUACACAACAUACUGUAUACACAACAUACUGUACACACAACAUACUGUACACACAACAUACUGUACACACAACAAUUUAUUUAUCUAAUGUAGAAUUCAUUGCCAUUACUAGAACAACAUAUCAUUUUGGUAUUUCAAAGGAUUUGUACUGAAGUGAGGUGUUUAAUGGCAACACAUGAACACAGCCUGGCCAGGGGUGGAAUGUAGUUGGUGAGGUAUACAAUCCCACAAUCCUUCAGGAAUUCAUGCUAUGGCUGAGUCCAAAAGCCCACAGCCAACAGUGACACCAGUGGCGCUGUGUUUUCAGUGUUGGCUUUCUGUAUUUCCUUAGUCUUUAGUAUAGGCAAAUAAUCACACAAUGAAGUGUUACCAAGUCACAAUGUGUCCAAGUGGGAACAACAUAGGACAUGAUGUGUGUGUGUGUGUGUGUGUAUAUACUUGGGUCUGUUGGAGUGUGUGAUCUCUACUCUCAGUCCUGUGUGUGUAUAUGUACUUGGGUCUGUUGGAGUGUGUGAUCUCUACUCUGUCCCUGUGUGUGUGUAUAUACACUUGGGUCUGUUUGAGUGUGUGAUCUCUACUCUCAGUCCUGUGUGUGUGUGUAUAUACUUGGGUCUGUUGGAGUGUGUGAUCUCUACUCUGUCCCUGUGUGUGUNNNNNNNNNNNNNNNNNNNNNNNNNNNNNNNNNNNNNNNNNNNNNNNNNNNCCCCCCCCCCCCUCUGGUAAAGUGUGCAAUAAAUCCUGCCAGAGCUGCAGGCUCGUGGAAUUAUGUCAUCCUGCCUGAAUCAAAGGGAAUACCCUUUUUUGCCUGCUUCUCGUUUUUGUAGUAACGUCCUUAUGCAAUAGACAGACACGCAGUCUGUGGAUGGCGACUCGAUCCCGUGCUAUGCUGUGAGUAAAGCCAAAUCUCAAGGUCAUUCCCGUUGCUUAGCUAGCCAGCUAGGUCAGCAUUUGCAUGCGCUAAAGCUUCUUACACAAUAGCGACAAUGUAGGUUAAAACAAUCAGUACUCACCUCUGGGCUAGUGCACGGAUGGAGACACUAGCAAGCGUCAAGCCUCCGG
rnacentral:lncRNA from 13 species